ensembl:snRNA U6 U6 spliceosomal RNA
GUGCUUGUCUCGGUAGCAUAUAUACUAAAAUUGGAAGGAUAUGGAGAAGAUUAGUAUGGUCGCUGCGCAAGGAUGACACGCAAAUUUGUGAAUUGUUUCAUAAUUAC